rnacentral:rRNA from 1 species
GAUGAACGCUAGCUACAGGCUUAACACAUGCAAGUCGAGGGGAAACGACAUCGAAAGCUUGCUUUUGAUGGGCGUCGACCGGCGCACGGGUGAGUAACGCGUAUCCAACCUGCCCACCACUUGGGGAUAACCUUGCGAAAGUAAGACUAAUACCCAAUGAUGUCUCUAGAAGACAUCUGAAAGAGAUUAAAGAUUUAUCGGCGAUGGAUGGGGAUGCGUCUGAUUAGCUUGUUGGCGGGGUAACGGCCCACCAAGGCGACGAUCAGUAGGGGUUCUGAGAGGAAGGUCCCCCACAUUGGAACUGAGACACGGUCCAAACUCCUACGGGAGGCAGCAGUGAGGAAUAUUGGUCAAUGGGCGAGAGCCUGAACCAGCCAAGUAGCGUGCAGGAUGACGGCCCUAUGGGUUGUAAACUGCUUUUAUAAGGGAAUAAAGUGAGUCUCGUGAGACUUUUUGCAUGUACCUUAUGAAUAAGGACCGGCUAAUUCCGUGCCAGCCGCCGCAGUAA